AGCGAACGCUGGCGGCAGGCCUAACACAUGCAAGUCGAACGAACCUUUCGGGGUUAGUGGCGGACGGGUGAGUAACACGUGGGAACGUGCCUUUAGGUUCGGAAUAACUCAGGGAAACUUGUGCUAAUACCGAAUGUGCCCUUCGGGGGAAAGAUUAAUCGCCUUUAGAGCGGCCCGCGUCUGAUUAGCUAGUUGGUUGAGGUAAUGGCUCACCAAGGCGACGAUCAGUAGCUGGUCUGAGAGGAUGAUCAGCCACAUUGGGACUGAGACACGGCCCAAACUCCUACGGGAGGCAGCAGUGGGGAAUCUUGCGCAAUGGGCGAAAGCCUGACGCAGCCAUGCCGCGUGAAUGAUGAAGGUCUCAGGAUUGUAAAAUUCUUUCACCGGGGACGAUAAUGACGGUACCCGGAGAAGAAGCCCCGGCUAACUUCGUG
rnacentral:rRNA from 1 species